rnacentral:rRNA from 1 species
CUAGUAGGUGGGGUAACGGCUCACCUAGGCGAAGACGGGUAGCCGGCCUGAGAGGGCGAACGGCCACACUGGAACUGAGAUACGGUCCAGACUCCUACGGGAGGCAGCAGUGGGGAAUAUUGGGCAAUGGGGGCAACCCUGACCCAGCGACGCCGCGUGGGUGAAGAAAUCCUUCGGGAUGUAAAGCCCUGUUGUAUGGGAAGAGCAGAUGACGGUACCUGACUAAGAAGCCCCGGCUAACUACGUGCCAGCAGCCGCGGUAAUACGUAGGGGGCAAGCGUUAUCCGGAUUUACUGGGUGUAAAGGGAGCGUAGACGGCGAUGCAAGUCAGAUGUGAAAACCCAUGGCUCAACCAUGGGAUUGCAUUUGAAACUGUGUUGCUAGAGUGCAGGAGAGGUAAGCGGAAUUCCUGGUGUAGCGGUGAAAUGCGUAGAUAUCAGGAGGAACACCGGUGGCGAAGGCGGCUUACUAGACUGUAACUGACGUUGAGGCUCGAAGGCGUGGGUAGCAAACAGGAUUAGAUACCCUGGUAGUCCACGCAGUAAACGAUGAUUACCAGGUGUCGGGAGACAUAGUCUCUCGGUGCCGCAGCAAACGCAGUGAGUAAUCCACCUGGGGAGUACGUUCGCAAGAAUGAAACUCAAAGGAAUUGACGGGGACCCGCACAAGCGGUGGAGCAUGUGGUUUAAUUCGAAGCAACGCGAAGAACCUUACCAAAUCUUGACAUCCUUCUGAAUAGCUGGUAAAGCAGCUAGGCCUUCGGGACAGAAGAGACAGGUGGUGCAUGGUUGUCGUCAGCUCGUGUCGUGAGAUGUUGGGUUAAGUCCCGCAACGAGCGCAACCCUUAUCUUCAGUAGCCAGCAAGUUAAGUUGGGCACUCUGGAGAGACUGCCGGGGAUAACCCGGAGGAAGGCGGGGAUGACGUCAAAUCAUCAUGCCCCUUAUGAUUUGGGCCACACACGUGCUACAAUGGCGUAAACAGAGGGAAGCGAAGGCGCGAGCCGGAGCAAAUCCCAGAAAUAACGUCCCAGUUCGGACUGUAGGCUGCAACCCGCCUACACGAAGCUGGAAUCGCUAGUAAUCGCAGAUCAGAAUGCUGCGGUGAAUACGUUCCCGGGUCUUGUACACACCGCCCGUCACACCAUGGGAGUCAGAAAUGCCCGAAAUCGGUGACAUAACCGUAAGGAAUGAGCCGCUGAAGGCAGGUCGGAUAACUGGGGUGAAGUCGUAACAAGGUAGCCG